AUCUUUAUCAGUAUACACAGUGCAGGGACAUUAGCUUGAAAAAUACAGAAUUGUUACAUAUUUUUAAAAGUGUCUGUUCCUAAUUACAACAAAAGUAUAAGAAUGCAAAAAAUAUCACAAGAAUCCACUUCAAGCACUGACUCAUCUUCUUCAAAGCAACUCUCUGUUGACCUAACUGUCCUCACUCUCAUCCCAGAUUUGCAUAUUUUUGUGUCGUCACGAAAUUUGCAAUGGUGGUUCAAGUUGACAUCUUAUCUUCUAAAACAACACCUUUAUGUGCAAGAAAAGCCAUCCUUACAAAUUUUAACAAUAUAUAUUUUAAAAUAGUUUACAAAACAUAACACACUAAAAGUUUUUUUAUAUUCUUUUUUACUGCAAAUUUCCAAGCACCUGAAGUGGUGUCUUCUGACAACUGA
rnacentral:lncRNA from 1 species